UUCUCUCUACAUAUAAACAACGGUGGCGAGGAAUCAGGUUGCGCCGCAGUCCGCACCGCCAAAGGAAACCCAAAAACGGGCCAAGGCGAAGCGGUAUUAAUUCUGUAUAAUAACGGCUCCCUCCUUUCCCUCCUUCUCAAAUCAAUUUCCUUAUUCUACUUCAGAAAUAACAAAAAUCUUAACCACCAAGUAAUCACAAAUUUUCCUCUCUCGAUCGUCAAUACAGAUGAAGGGAAUUCUGUCGCUUGUUAGGUUCUAGUUCUUAUUUCUUGGAUCCCAAGAUUGUGUUGGAGCUGUUUUUGAUUUUGUUUUGGAUGAAUACCUCCGUUGCUGUUAUGAAGACUAACGAUACAAAAUGCCAGAUAUCACCUCCUCCUGUGGGAAGGAAUGGCAGGAUUAAACUUAGGUCUAGGGAUUUAGUUUCUGAUCAUUGUAGAAGACGUAGGAACAUUGAACAUAUGAAGCACAGAGAUAAUGGAGAUUCGGCAUCAGAUACCACCAAUGAGAGGGAUAUAUCGGUUUCGGAUUCUGAAAGUGUCGUCUCUGGCUCCACCACCGCUCCGGAAUUCGAAUCCUUCACAGGAAAUGGACUGAUCAGGUUGGAAGAAGGAGAUAAUGAGCACGACAUCAUCAAGAAUAGAUUUAUCUUGGGUUUGAGUUCUCUAGGAAGGCAUGCUACGGUUGUCGCCGUUCACAAAAAUUCUUUCUCUAGCUUUCACAGACAAGCUCGAUUUCAAUCGUUCAAGAUCUUCUCGGAAGCGAUGUCUCUGAAGUGCAAUGGCAAUGCCAAUAUAAAAUACGCUUGGUAUGGAACUUCGAGGGAAAGGGUUCAUAGGAUCGUUACCAAUGGAUUUGGUCAAUUUGAAAAGCCUGAGAACAGCAAAUUGAAUGGCUGCGGUCUCCAUCUUUCUCCGGAGAGUUCUUCUAUUGAGAGUGUGAUGGAAUCUGUUCUAGAUGAAGGUGGUUUGCGACAUGUGUUUCUUUGUCGUGUGAUCUUGGGAAAUAUGGAGGAAAUCCCUCCUGGUCCUGAGCAGUUUUAUCCUAGUUCUGAGGAUUUUGACUCCGGGGUCGAUAAUCUGGCUGCUCCCAGCAGAUAUGUCGUCUGGAGCACACAUAUGAACAGUCAUAUCUUGCCUGAAUACGUCAUAAGUUUCAGGGCUCCUCCUUGCUUGAAAGGUUUUCAAAGGACACAAGAGCAUGUGGUCAAACCCACAUCUGCUUGGAUGCCGUUUCCGAAUCUAAUAUCUGUACUUUCGAGGUUCUUGACUCCCACUUCCAUUGCUGUCAUUCAGAAGCAUCACAACGAUUACCGAGAGAAGAAGAUCACUCGGCCGCACCUGAUUCAGCGAGUGAGGCAAAUAGCUGGAGACAAAUUGCUUGUAUCAGUAAUCAAAACAUGCAGAAGCAAGUGUAGAUGACGAGGAAUAUGCUCUGAUGGGGGUAUUCUAAUUGGGAAGCUGAUUCAUUUGCGUGGAAUCUGGAAGAUAGCAGCAAUUCAAAGCAAAAGGAAGCCGUUCACCAAGCAGCAGCUCAAAUUAGAGCAGAGGACACUUGGGAGUACACAUGAAACAAAUCUGGUUGUUGUUAUACCAAUACAGACAAUUAUUUUGGAAGAGGAAAGAGAAGGCAGCUACAUGUACAGCCACAUGAGAAGAUCUUUAGGUUUUGAUUUUUGAUUUUUGAUUUUUUUUUUUGGGGGGGGGGGGGGUGAUAAAAUCUUUAGUUUUUGAGUUUUGACUAAACAGCUAACAAAAAACAGGUUAAGGAAGCAGGUGCCUGACUGGCAUUCUUCUCUGACUUGUUCUGAAGAUUUAACAGGGGCUGUGGUAGGGAAUUUUUUUUUUUUUCCUUUGACAUAAAUGAAGCUGAUGCCUGAGUGGCAUCUCACUUCUUGUUGUUCUAAAGAUGUAGCCACAAGUGUGGUGUCUAUUGGGGAUUUUCUCUUGUUUUGUCAAUUUCUCCAUUUGGAAGUUGUUUACACCAAGUAGUGAAUUGUUUCCAGAGUAA